UGGACGGGAGCUCAGAGCGCCCAGCCACCGUAUGGAGGGACAGCUGAGCACAAGCACACACCCAGGUGGGUGUGGCAGUGGAGUCUGCAGAUGUUCUCUUCUCAUUCCUUCUGUGUUUUCAGCAUUUGGAAGCAAAGCCAUCAAUUGAGGGUGAAAGGUAGAAAGAGGCGCCAGAGGACCGAGAAAAAGGGGGAACCAGGGAGUGAACGAUGAAUGGACACAACACCUCUCUGAGGCUUCAGCACCUCCCUCUUCCAGGUCCUUGAAGCCAAGCACCAAGCACAUCCAGAAAACUGAAAUGAGUCCACCAAAUUCACGUUAAGCAACUUCAACUGGAUUCUCAAUGUUUCUGAAGUUCUUUAUUCACCUCUAGUGAAUGUUCACCUCAAUGUCCACAGCAAGUGGGGAUUUUCUACCUCCUUCAGGACCCAGCACCACCCCCUCAUCACUGAGCAGAUGAGCUUGGCUUCUAUUUUAUUAAGGGCAAAGGCCACUUGAUGUGAGCAAGCUUCUUAAAACUUCCUUCUCUCUGACUCAAAAUCUCUGCAUGUUUAACAUCUACUUGUCUUUCCCUGCUGCCUCCCAAAUGUUAUUUUCUUCUUUCCAGGGUUAACCCCACCUCUCCCUCUACCACCUGCACCUCCAAUCUGCAGAACUUUAUUCAGUUAUCCUAUCUCUUUUUACCUCUCAAUUUCUUAAAUUUAUAGGCUAAGGUAUUUAGGGGAAAGAAACAAAGGAAGUUACAGAAGUAGGAAAAAACAUGGAAUGCUCAUAUAAACAGCAAAAAAUCGGUAUUGUUACACUGCAGGGUGUGUUAGAAAGAGAAAACAAAGUUAGAUGGAUAGGGUGGGAUCAGAUUACAGAGGAUCUUAAAAACCACAGAGCAGGUUGAUGAUUUCUGAGCAAGAAAAUGCUCAUGAUGGAAGUACUGUUUAAGGGAGACGAGAUUCAGAGCAUGAGAUGGGACGGGACAGGAUGGGAAAGGAGGGAUUCACGCUGGGAAUAGGGGCAAGUUUGGGGCCUUGGGGCAGAGAAAGGGUGGAAGGCAAGAGGAUGAUGUAGUCAUCCUGACAAAUAUAACUAAAGCCUGGUCUCACGUGGAGCAGCGAGGAGGAGAAAGGAAAAAGACAAGACAUUUCCUAGAGAAAAAAUGGACAGAACCUGGUGACUGAUGGCAUGCUGUGGAUGAGUUUCAAGCCGAAAUUCCAGGAGAGGGUGGUGUGGCUGCUGCAAAAUGGAAGGCAUGGCACUGUACUGGUAGAGAGCCUGGAAUCACAGCACUUUGAAGCUUAAAGGGGCCAGGACCUCUGAGGUUAUGGGAUUCAGCUCCCCCAGUUUAUAAAUGAGGAAGUGGAGGCCCAAAGACAUGAAGAGAUUUGUCUAAUGUCACAAAACUAGUUGCUGACAAAGCUGGCACUAGAACCCUACCUCCCUGACUGCCUUCAGAGCUCCUUCACUACUCCACCGCCUCUUAUAGGAUCCAUUCUCAGUUUCCUAUUUGCCCACCCUGACCCAAGGCCUAAACUCGCACUGUCAAAAACUCUACCAGGGAACCAGCCAUGUGGUUUUGGCCUCUGCACAUAUCUGGUCCAGGAGGAUUAGCUCUCAGCCACCAGGGCUUCAAGGCUGCUGGUCUGGCUUUACCCCAGGACUUUCCUGAAGAUAAGCUUGCCUUGCCCCUUCAUAGGGAGCCCAGCUCAGACUUUGAGACUUCUCCAGACACUGUUUUGAUGUUUCUAGUAAGUCCAUAUUUCAAGGUAGUAGAGUAAAUAAGACACAAGCUCUACUCUAAGGAUCAUUAAAAUGAUUUUGAGAUUAAAGGGCAAACCAUAUUGACCCUUAUGGUUUCCUUUUUCCUCUCCUUUUCUGACUCAGGAACAGAAUUUAAGAUGCUGUUUGGCUGAUUUGUGAUGAAAAUCUUGAGCCAUGUGUAUGGUUCCCUGGCAAACACUGGAAUUUGUAUUUGAUAUUCUUUAUACUGUCAGCUCAUAGUACUCUACUGACAACAAGAAGUACUCUAUAAUUUUUAGCAGGGCCUCUACAUUUCUUUACAGGCAACAUUCAUGAAUAAAACAGGAGUUUCUAGAUAAUUUCCUACUGACUUCAGAACUUUGAAAGAAGUUUACAAAAACAUAGCUUCCACGGUUCUUAUGGUAACCAGGGACAAUUACUUAUACUAAAUAAAAAUGGACAACUUGGUGAUCUCAUCUUCUCCAUCGGUGUCAACAAGGACUUUAACAAGGUACCACGGACUUUGGCAAGCUGUCCAUAUUAAAAUAGCUAUUUAGAGUGGACAGUACUGAACUAUUUGAACGUAUUAAGUACCAGUAUCUGCAGUGAUGACAAUUCUGCAAUUAAAAUGUACCCAAUUCAGGUAUCAAACCUCACCUUUUGGUUUAUGUUUUCUUCUUGAUAUCCUCAUACUAUUCAUUUUGAAAUUAAAUUUUUUUUUUAACCACACACUUCAAGCAUCUCAGAAACUUAAACUGAGUACAUCCGUUUGCUUAGUGGCUUCGAGACAUUCUCUUUUGUGACUAAGUGGCAGGUGCUGUUCAGUUUAUUUUUAUGCGUGUAAACUAAGCCCUUGAACUUAGAGUGAGGAAAAGCAUUCAGCUUAAACUUUAGAAAGGAAGGAACUACACAACAGCUUCCUUG
rnacentral:lncRNA from 1 species